rnacentral:miRNA from 15 species
AGGUCGCGGAAGGUUGCAAUGCG